GAUGAACGCUGGCGGCGUGCUUAACACAUGCAAGUCGAACGGAGAUCAUUUUAAUGAGGCUUCGGCGGAUUUGAUCUGAUCUUAGUGGCGGACGGGUGAGUAACGCGUGGGUAACCUGCCUUAUACGAGGGGGAUAACGAGACCGGAAACGGCUGCUAAUACCGCAUAAGCGCACAGAGGCGCAUGCCUCAGUGUAGAAAACCUCCGGUGGUAUAAGAUGGACCCGCGUUGGAUUAGCUGGUUGGCAGGGCAGCGGCCUACCAAGGCGACGAUCCAUAGCC
rnacentral:rRNA from 1 species